UUGAUGAACCUUAAAAUUUCACAUUGCAGUUAUUACACAUUCUUUAAUUUUAUGAUUACUUAUAGCAUAUGUAUGUUGCUGGUUGUAUUGCUCUCACUAAGAUAUCUCAAAAGUGUUGAGUGCUGAGGAAAUUCAUGAGUGCUGUGCAGAGUGGGGCAGAAUUUUUCCCAGUGAACAUUGAUAUUUGUCAGAAAUAUGUUUUGGUUCCUACUCUGUUCAAUGCUUGCAUGGUCUGAGAGUUGGGUACUUGUAGAGUUGUGGAAACCAGUGGCUUUGGUGACUUUAAUGUGGAGGAAAGGUUUGUUGAACUUGACUUCACAGAUGAUGGUGUGAGCUUUGCAGGAUCAGUAUAUAGCCUGAAUGCAGAACUUGAGAGCCUGAGUGAGGAAUUGGAGUGUCUGGGUUUGUGAGAGUUAGUAAAGCAUUGAACUUG